UAUGACAAAUGUCUGCAUCUGUGCCUAAGC
rnacentral:piRNA from 1 species